AGUCUGUGAUGUAAGCAUCUCCUAAAAAAUUCCUUGAAUAUUUCUCAUGCUUCAAAUAAUCAUUCAUUAUCCAUUUGUAAAAAAGUAGUAAUAUCGUUAUGCAU
rfam:Eucalyptus grandis cultivar BRASTZ1 unplaced genomic scaffold scaffold_7, whole genome shotgun sequence.